rnacentral:rRNA from 1 species
UAACAGGAUUAGAUACCCUGGUAGUCCACGCCGUAAACGGUGAGUACUAGGUGUGGGUUUCCUUCCUUGGGAUCCGUGCCGUAGCUAACGCAUUAAGUACCCCGCCUGGGGAGUACGGCCGCAAGGCUAAAACUCAAAGGAAUUGACAGGGGCCCGCACAAGCGGCGGAGCAUGUGGAUUAAUUCGAUGCAACGCGAAGAACCUUACCUGGGUUUGACAUGCACAGGACGCGUCUAGAGAUAGGCGUUCCCUUGUGGCCUGUGUGCAGGUGGUGCAUGGCUGUCGUCAGCUCGUGUCGUGAGAUGUUGGGUUAAGUCCCGCAACGAGCGCAACCCUUGUCUCAUGUUGCCAGCGGGUAAUGCCGGGGACUCGUGAGAGACUGCCGGGGUCAACUCGGAGGAAGGUGGGGAUGACGUCAAGUCAUCAUGCCCCUUAUGUCCAGGGCUUCACACAUGCUACAAUGGCCGGUACAAAGGGCUGCGAUGCCGUAAGGUUAAGCGAAUCCUUUUAAAGCCGGUCUCAGUUCGGAUUGGGGUCUGCAACUCGACCCCAUGAAGUCGGAGUCGCUAGUAAUCGCAGAUCAGCAACGCUGCGGUGAAUACGUUCCCGGGCCUUGUACACACCGCCCGUCACGUCAUGAAAGUCGGUAACACCCGAAGCCAGUGGCCUAACCUUUUGGAGGGAGCUGUCGAAGGUGGGAUCGGCGAUUGGGACGAAGUCGUAACAAGGUAGC